UACGAAGGGGGUUAGCGUUGCUCGGAAUCACUGGGCGUAAAGCGCACGUAGGCGGGUUGCUAAGUCAGGGGUGAAAUCCUGGAGCUCAACUCCAGAACUGCCUUUGAUACUGGCGACCUUGAGUCCGGGAGAGGUGAGUGGAACUGCGAGUGUAGAGGUGAAAUUCGUAGAUAUUCGCAAGAACACCAGUGGCGAAGGCGGCUCACUGGCCCGGUACUGACGCUGAGGUGCGAAAGCGUGGGGAGCAAACAGG
rnacentral:rRNA from 1 species